AACGUAGGACGCAAGCGUUAUCCGGAGUUACUGGGCGUAAAGCGCGGGCAGGCGGCCCGAUGCGUCUGAUGUGAAAUCUCCUCGCUCAACGGGGAGAGGCCAUUGGAAACGGUCGGGCUGGAGGGCAGUAGAGGUAGGCGGAAUUCCGGGUGGAGUGGUGAAAUGCGCAGAUAUCAGGAAGAACACCAAUGGCGAAGGCAGCUCUCUGGGACGGUACUGACGCUGAGACGCGAAAGCGUGGGGAGCGAACAGG
rnacentral:rRNA from 1 species